rnacentral:rRNA from 1 species
AUUGAACGCUGGCGGCAGGCCUAACACAUGCAAGUCGAGCGAGCGGCGGACGGGUGAGUAAUGUAUGAGGAUCUGCCCGAUAGAGGGGGAUAACUACUGGAAAAGGUGGCUAAUACCGCAUACUCUAGGAUGCACCCAUAUGGGAUUAGCUAGUCGGGGGGGGAAAGGCUCACCUAGGCGACGAUCUCUAGCUGGUCUGAGAGGAUGAUCAGCAACACUGGGACUGAGACACGGCCCAGACUCUUAGGGGAGGAAGAAGUGGGGAAGAUUGCAAAAUGGGCGAAAGCUUGAUGCAGCCAUGCCGCGUGUAGGAAGAAGGCCUUAGGGUUGUAAAGUACUUUCAGCGGGGAGGCGUUACCCGCAGAAGAAGCACCGGCUAACUCCGUGCCAGCAGCCGCGGUAAUAC